CCUGAUUGCCAAACAGAGACAGGUGAGGGAAGCAGUGCUCAGUCCAGAGGUUUAAUGACAGGAAGUGGAAUUAAGAAAACCAGUGCUGGAACAGAACUGCAACGAAGGUUCAUGACAGUGGGAUCUGCCCUGCGAUGAGGUGGCGACUUGUCCAGGGUGUGCACUGCCUUCCACCAGAAUGCAGCUGAGAUAGGCUCCAGCACCCCCCGCGACACCCAACGGAACAAGCGGAGGGGGCGCCUUGGAGCAAAACAAAGCCAGUCAUGAAGUGGUUGAUGUGAGGACAUGUUCACACUUUCUGGUCAGUCUGGCACUGUGAGGACGGUUUCUAUGGUUUCCUGCUUCUUCUGACCAUUCUCAUUGAUGGUCGCCCACCAUCUGAUGACACCACCUGUCCACAAGGGACUGACAGACACUCCUCAUACGUACGCCAGACAUUCUAACGCCACAAUUUUCCUAAAUCGAAUUAAAUUAGCACAGUGUGCCCGAAAUCAGGUCAAGUGUGGCCUGAUGAUGCUUUUAACGCAAAAAGAAACGUGUGUAUGAUAAAUAAACACAGAUUGGGAGAAGGAGUAGGAAGAAAAAAAACAAACGCCCACUAAUUCUCUCUCGCACUUCCUGCGGCGCCCACGUACUCGCUGUUCCUGUGACGUUCGCUCGACUUCCCUCACUCAUGCUGCCUUCGCUGAGCCUCCAAAUGUAAAAGGAAGAGGAAGCACCAUAUUUGGCUGGUCUCGCUUGGCAUCAAAGAGCGUUAUAUCUGUAUAUCGCAAUCAUAACAGUACACUAAAACAGUCAUGGUGACUCUAACCCCGCAUGGCCAACUUUAGUGCUCUGAAAUAUUGAUGGACCAGCCAGGACAUGUCUCGUUUUGUGUUAGCAUGAGCGUCGGCACUAAUUAGGUAUGGGUAUUGGAUUUUACUUUAAACGGACAAAAAGACAACCGGAUAAUAUGAAAGCCCAA